UACGUAGGGUGCGAGCGUUAAUCGGAAUUACUGGGCGUAAAGCGUGCGCAGGCGGUUUUGUAAGCCAGAUGUGAAAUCCCCGGGCUUAACCUGGGAACUGCGCUUGUUACUGGCAGGCUUGAGUGUGGCAGAGGGGGGUGGAAUUCCACGUGUAGCAGUGAAAUGCGUAGAGAUGUGGAGGAACACCGAUGGCGAAGGCAGCCCCCUGGGCUAACACUGACGCUCAUGCACGAAAGCGUGGGGAGCAAACAGG
rnacentral:rRNA from 1 species